ACCUGGCUGGCUCAGUAGAUAGAGCAUGGGACUCUUGGUCUUAGGGUCAGGAGUUCAAACCCCAUGCUGGGUG
rnacentral:tRNA from 1 species